rnacentral:rRNA from 1 species
GACGAACGCUGGCGGCGUGCUUAACACAUGCAAGUCGAACGCUGAAGCUUGGUGCUUGCACUGGGUGGAUGAGUGGCGAACGGGUGAGUAAUACGUGAGUAACCUGCCCUUGACUCUGGGAUAAGCCUGGGAAACUGGGUCUAAUACUGGAUACGACAUGUCACCGCAUGGUGGUGUGUGGAAAGGGUUUUAGUGGUUUUGGAUGGGCUCACGGCCUAUCAGCUUGUUGGGGGGGUAAUGGCUCGCCAAGGCGACGACGGGUAGCCGGCCUGAGAGGGUGACCGGCCACAAUGGGACUGAGACACGGCCCAGACUCCUACGGGAGGCAGCAGUGGGGAAUAUUGCACAAUGGGCGAAAGCCUGAUGCAGCGACGCCGCGUGAGGGAUGACGGCCUUCGGGUUGUAAACCUCUUUCAGCACGGAAGAAGCGAAAGUGACGGUACGUGCAGAAGAAGCGCCGGCUAACUACGUG